rnacentral:rRNA from 1 species
CCUACGGGUGGUUGCAGUGGGGAAUAUUGCACAAUGGGGGAAACCCUGAUGCAGCGACGCCGCGUGAGUAAAGAAGUAAUUCGUUACGUAAAGCUCUAUCAGCAGGGAAGAAAAUGACGGUACCUGAGUAAGAAGCCCCGGCUAACUACGUGCCAGCAGCCGCAGUAAAACGGGAGGAGCAACCGUUAUCCGGAUUUAGUGGGUGUAAAGGGAGCGUAGACGGUGCGCCUAGUCUGGAGUGAAACGGCGCAGGUUAACUGCCGUACUGCUUUUGAAACUGGCGAACUCGAGUGAGAGAGAGGUAAGCGGAAUUCCUAGUGUAGCGGUGAAAUGCGUAGAUAUUGGGAAGAACACCGAUUGCGAAGGCAGCUUACUGGACCGUAACUGACGUUGAGGCUCGAAAGCGUGGGUAGCGAACAGGAUUAGAUACCCUAGUAGUC